rnacentral:lncRNA from 1 species
AAACUAUAGUUCUCUAUUCUAUAUGGUAGCCCACCUGAGGUAUGGCCAUUGUGAUUUCUUUAUAAUUGAUGUUAAAAAGUUUCUUGAUUUCUUGUUUUUGCUGAUUGCAGUACUGAUUUCAGGAACUGUCAUAAGCUGAUUUCAGAAAGGAAUCAAGAAACUUUUUAACAUCAAUUAAAUUUGCUAGUCCUUUGAAGAAAAUCAGCUUAUGACAGAUUGAUGAAAUCAGUACUAAUAUAGUAAUAUACAGGUCUGACUCCACAACUUCAACUCAUAUCAUGUUUUCUGUUUGAUAGCUAUCCAGCAUUAUAUACGAGUUGCAGGUAUUGUAGGCAAUGCUAUUGUGUUUUCCAGUAUCACUCUUGAGUCUCUGCCAUAAACUUUAAAGAAGAUAAACACAGUCCUGGGAUCGAGUUCUGUCACCUGAGUAAUCCUUACUGUUUUUCCAUGAGGCUGUUAGGUUGCCAGAUGCCCAGAUCCUCCCUAUUGUUAGCCAUUCAUGUUGGUGUACUUGCUAGUUGCGUCUAUCAUUGUCCUUGUAAACAUUUUUUUCGACAGUAAAGCCAUGUGGAACGGGGACGUUGGCCCUGGACAAUCCCCAUCAGCAUCUCCUUGAUUCGAGUAAGGAGAUGAAAAAAGGGAAAGGGCUUGUAGACUUGGUGACAAAGGCACAGUUGUAUCCUUGAUGAAUGAGAACUGAGAAGAAACACAUUCAUUAAUGGAUUAAAGCUCACUCAAGUACCAUAAUUUGAUGCAUUGAACAAGUUUGAGAUUUUCAUUACAGAAGAAAUUGUCUAUGUGAAAAUGAUGGAUCAUGUAAACCUUGUGGAUCUGCUACUUCUCUUUUGCAUUUGUACUCUCUGGACUGUAGUAACAUGAACAAAACAAAGUGUUGAUAAG